rnacentral:rRNA from 1 species
CUGCGAGUGAAGCGGGAAAAGCUCAAAUUUAAAAUCUGGCGGUCUCCGGCCGUCCGAGUUGUAAUUUAGAGAAGCGUUAUCCGUGCUGGACCGUGUAUAAGUCUCCUGGAAUGGAGCGUCAUAGAGGGUGAGAAUCCCGUCUUUGACACGGACUACCAGUGCAUUGUGAUGCGCUCUCGACGAGUCGAGUUGUUUGGGAAUGCAGCUCAAAAUGGGUGGUAAAUGCCAUCUAAAGCUAAAUAUUGGCGAGAGACCGAUAGCGAACAAGUACCGUGAGGGAAAGAUGAAAAGAACUUUGGAAAGAGAGUUAAACAGUACGUGAAAUUGUCGAAAGGGAAACGGUUGCAGUCAGUCGCGUCCGCCGGGGAUCAACCUUGCUUUUGCUUGGCGUAUUUCCCGGUGGAUGGGUCAGCAUCAGUUUUGACCGCAGUUGAAAGGCUGGAGGAAUGUGGCACCUUCGGGUGUGUUAUAGCCUCCUGUCAUAUGCUGCGGUUGGGACUGAGGAACUCAGCACGCCGCAAGGCCGGGAUUCGUCCACGUUCGUGCUUAGGAUGCUGGCAUAAUGUCUGUAACCGACCCGUCUU